UACGGAGGGGGCUAGCGUUGUUCGGAAUCAUUGGGCGUAAAGCGUGCGUAGGCGGCGCGUUAAGACAGGUGUGAAAGCCCCGAGCUUAACUUGGGAAUUGCGCUUGUGACUGGCGUGCUGGAGUGUGGCAGAGGGAGGUGGAAUUCCACGUGUAGCAGUGAAAUGCGUAGAGAUGUGGAGGAACACCGAUGGCGAAGGCAGCCUCCUGGGCCAGCACUGACGCUCAUGCACGAAAGCGUGGGGAGCAAACAGG
rnacentral:rRNA from 1 species